GUACGGAUGUGACAUUUUGACGAUGUGUUAUGUGUGUGACCUGCUGCCGGAGGAUUUAAGAAGCAGCUAGAAGCAGUUAGCAGCUAACUCAAAGAAGAACAGUUGCCGAAAAUGUCUGCAAAUUAAGGAGACAAUGAGGUACGGAAGCUUCUUAACCUUCAAGCAGAGAUCGACUGCUAUAUAAACAGGAUGAACACCAGCACUGGGUAGUACUAUGCCACUGUUGUUUGGUUCUGUAUAAAAAAGCAAAGCCAGCGCAAAGGAAAUGCACUCAUGAUGUUUGGUAGACCUCAAGGAUACACACAAAAUGUUUUGAACAAGACUAAAUAUGACAAACUAAUCAGCAGCUGCUCACGUCAACAGGAGGCUGCAACAAAGUGGGCGCUGAACUGAAAUGAACUUCAAAGCUUUCACAUUGCUUCACUAUAUUUCAAACUCAACCUUCCAGUCCUUCAAAGCCACUCAAGCCUGUAGCCUCGGCUGUACGCUGAGAGAGCGCCGGACAAAAGAGGGAGCAGCUGUUACAAGUACCAGCUGAGGUCCCUUUGAUCAGGGACUGACUCCAUGUUUAUAACAAAUGAAAAACCCCAUCA